GGCUGCGACGGCGGAGGAGCAGCGAAGCGAGGUGGGCCCGGCUUUGCGUCCGUGUCCGAAUCGGCCGCGGUCCGUGGGAGAGGCAGAAGCGAGCAGAGUCCGAGGUUUUGCUGGAGGACAGCGGUGUGGGUGCAGUAAAUCACGGCCAGACUGCAGGUGAUGUGCGGUGAGCUUGGAAGCACUGAGCCCUCCUUGCCGUUACUCUCCAGACAGGGGCUGCGGUCGCGUUCCCAGCACACGGGUUCUGCACGGUGUUUGUGGGAGGAGCUGCAGUCCAGAGACCUGACCUCAGGUACAGAUGUGUCCCCUGCUGGGGGGAGACCUGUCUGCCAUGUGCCUGAUCACCACCAAAGCACCGCCGGUGCCCUCGCUGGAAGCAGAGCAGGCUGUCGGCAGCUGAGCAGCGUCUCGCAGGACGAGGCUCCCUGCAGGCUCCUGCUGGGCCGAAGCUCCGUGUGAAAGUCUUUCCCUGAUCUCAUAGGACGUGCUUGACAUCCAGUAUUGCCCGUGACGAGAGGAAGACAAGAGGCAACAUUGUAUGAGGCUACUGAAAAUAGCAAAUCAAACAGUUGGUCAGGAAACCAGCUGAGGACUGUGCCAUCCACUGAACCGGGAAGAGUCUCCAUUCCCUGGCUCACGCUCGUCCUUCCAUACAUGGAGGUACAGAAGAGAUGAUGAAAGCAUUCUUGUGUGCUGGGAUUCCCGUUCUCCUAUGGGAGUUUGUUCUAGUCUGCGUUCUCAUGGCUGUGCUGCUCAACUCGAUGUGGCUGUUCCUGCUGUGAUCUUCAGUGAACAUCACUGUGAUUGCUGACAGCUCGCAGAAACAGAACAUUUCAACUGCUUUUCUUAAAGCUCAACUCUAUGUAAAGGAGAAGUGACUAGAAACCCCAAACUGGGUCCUGGGUCUUGCUUAACUCUGUAAAGCACACUGACUUGCUGACACGACUCCAGUUAAGGUAUGGUAUGAAUCAGGAGCUCCAACAGCCGCUGUGGAAUGAGUGCGUUCACAUGAAGUCAUCCUGCAGCAGCUAUUGCAGAAUAGUCAACUGCUCUGUGUAAGCAAGCCCUAAAAGACAAUCCUGGUCCCAGCAGUUGUGUGACUAGGUAAGGGAGGUAAUGGGCACAAGAAAGGCAUAUUCUGUCUGCUAAGGAUGGGCUGGGAGCAAAGAAACCUGUGCUGCUCAGGGCUGCCUUGCAGGUCGCUGCCUUUGGAGUUGUUUGCUUCAGGACUUUCUGCUUUGAUGCCUUCGAUUUCUGAGACCGGUCCAGCAUACGAAGCCACAGACUGUUUCCUCAUGUAGCUGAUGCAGUGUCUUCACCUGAUACCAAAACAAGAUGUGAGGAAUUGAACGUUUCCCCUGGUGAGAUGUGUGGAUGGAACUGACCUGCUUUUAAUCCAGUAUCUACCGAUCAAAUAAACAGAAGCACCACCACUACUAACAGGAAUGACUGACGCUUAGUACUGGAAACAGGAAGAUCCAGAAGGGGAUUUUGUGCCUAUGUUACAAUUUUUAUCUUUAGUAUUCACAUCUUACUCAAAGUAAGAAUAUUUGUAUGUUAAAAUAACCCCCUUUUUGCUUUGUAAUACUGGAUUGAGCCUGCCCAGCUUCUUCCUAUCACAGCUCUGCCCCAUGGAGAGAACCCAGUGGUGGAUGUGGAGGUCAGAAGAGCUCCUCCAAAUGCAGGGGAUGUGCACAGGACAAUCCUGCAGCUCUUCCUGAAGCUAGUGCAUGGAUGAAUGGAUCGUCUUCUCAUGUGCUAUGGGAACUCUGCCUAUAUAAAUGUCUGACAAACUCUUCCAGUGCUUUAUAACCGUGUUUCUUCUACCUUCUGAAGCCAGCGCCCUCUCUUCAGCUCUGCCACACUGAACAUCCCACACAGCCACUUCUGUGUCACUCACAGUCGAGUCGUCUUCUGAGUCCUGCUUCAGAUUUCUCCUUCCCAAAGACAGAUGAUGGGAACUGGCUGUGACUUUCCAGACGGAGGCUGAGCAGUUCCUUGUAUGGUGGCAGGAGUGCUUCCCCAUCUUUACUGGAAAUAUCUUGCCUAAUAAACCCGAUGAUCUCA